GACGAGGGAUCCUAGCGUUGUUCGGAAUCAUUGGGCGUAAAGCGGAUGUAGGUGGCUCUAUAAGUCAGGUGUGAAAUCCCUGGGCUCAACCCAGGACGUGCAUUUGAUACUGUGGAGCUUGAGUGUGGGAGAGGUUAGUAGAAUUCCUGGUGUAGUGGUGAAAUACGUAGAUAUCAGGAGGAAUACCGGUGGCGAAGGCGGCUAACUGGCCCAACACUGACACUGAGAUCCGAAAGCGUGGGGAUCAAACAGG
rnacentral:rRNA from 1 species